rnacentral:rRNA from 1 species
GUCCUAGCCGUAAACGUUGGGUGCUAGGUGUGGGUGGACAUCGACCCCAUCCGUGCCGAAGCUAACGCAUUAAGCACCCCGCCUGGGGAGUACGGCCGCAAGGCUAAAACUCAAAGGAAUUGACGGGGGCCCGCACAAGCGGCGGAGCAUGCGGCUUAAUUCGAUGCGACGCGAAGAACCUUACCUGGGCUUGACAUGCAGGGCAAAGCCGGUGAAAGCCGGCGCUCUACGGAGCCUGCACAGGUGGUGCAUGGCUGUCGU